AGCUCUUGCUCUAGCUCUUGCUCUUGCUCCUUCGCCUGCUUGCCGUGUGAGACUGAGUAACUGCUAGAUCCUUGGACUUCCAUUCACAGCUGCGACUGAACAAUUGUAAGGAAUUGGGCUGCCGACUGUAAGUCAUCAAUAAAUUCCUUUACUAUCUAGAGACUGUCCAUAAGUUCUGUGACUCUAGAGAACCCUGACUAAUACAACAUCCAAUUUUACAAUUUGCCCUGAAUCAAGCCAUAGUGUUUCCACAGGUGACAGCAAAAAACCUGCUUCCAGAAGGAAUCAUAGUGUAUACAGAUGGGUCAAAAACUGGUGUAGGCGCUUAUGUGACCAAUAACAAAAUAGUGUCUAAACAAUAUAAUGAAACUUCACCUCAAAUUGUGGAAUGUUUGGUGGUUUUGGAGGUCCUUAAGGCCUUCCUGGGACCACUUAAAAUUGUGUCAGGUUCCCUCUAUGUGGUCAAUGGAGUUAACCUUCUAGAGGCUGCUGGGGUAAUAAAAUCAUCCAGUAAAGUUGUUGAUAUUUUUCAAAAAAUACAGGCUGUUUUAUUACAUAGGAGAUUUCCUGUUUAUAUCACCCAUGUCAGAGCACAUUCUGGUCUCCCUGGGCCCAUAUCCAGGGUCAAUGAUCUCGCAGACUGAGCUACCAGGGUUGUGGCUGCUGCCCUUUCAUCCCAAGUGGAUGCUUCAAGAAAUUUUCACAAACAAUUCCAUGUGACGGCUGAAACCUUGCGCAGUAGCUUUGCAAUGACCAGAAAAGAGGCUAGGGAAAUAGUUACUCAGUGUCAAAACUGUUGCCAGUUCUUGCCAGUGCCACAUGUGGGAGUUAACCCACGGGGGAUUCAACCGCUACAAGUCUGGCAGAUGGAUGUAACACACAUUUCCUCCUUUGGGAGGCUUCAAUACCUGCAUGUUUCUGUGGAUACUUGUUCUGGUAUCAUUUUUGCCUCGCCUCUUACAGGGAAAAAAGCCUCACAUGUAAUUCAACAUUGCCUUGAAGCUUGGAGUGCUUGGGGACAACCCAAAAUUCUUAAAACAGAUAAUGGACCGGCCUACACCUCUCAAAAAUUUUGACAGUUCUGUUGGCAGAUGAAUGUAACUCAUUUAACUGGUUUGCCAUACAGCCCUCAGGGACAAGGCAUUGUGGAACGUGCCCACCACACUCUUAAAUCUUACCUAAUCAAACAGAAAGGGGGAGUCGACGAGGCUCUGCCCUUAACACCGAGAGUGGCCGUCUCCAUGGCACUCUUUACUCUUAAUUUUUUGAAUCUUGAUGAACAAGGCCGCACUGCAGCUGAUCGUCACUGUUCAGAACCAAACAGACCUAGAGAAACGAUCAAAUGGAAAGAUGUCUUAACCGGAAAAUGGAGAGGCCCAGAUCCUAUUUUAAUAAGAUCUAGGGGAGUUAUUUGUGUCUUUCCACAGGAAGAAGACAAUCCUCUUCGGGUUCCAGAAUGCCUCACCCGAAGGAUCUCCCCUUCAGAAGAUGUGGACAAAAGAGGGAACACUGAAACAACGAUUGAUACUGACCCUUCUACUGGAGAUCCUGGUUCCUAGUAUAUCGGGGGAAUUGUGUUGGGGUAUUAUGUCCACCUUUCCCCUGCCCAUGCCUGUCAUGCACAGUGCACAAGUGUUUCCACGUUUCUUUACUACUGAUAGGGAGCUGGGACUUGCCUUUUUACCAUUAGAUGGGCAAAUUCAGGCUCUGAUGGAAAAUAGAACUUUUCCCUCAAAGGGAAAGUUCUCGUUAUUUGUUACAGAAUUGGACCAUAGAAUUUGAUCUCUGACUUGAAAAACCAAAGCCAGUGUAUAUCCUUAUAUAAUUAAUCAGCAUCCUGGCUGAAAGAGGCUGCUUGGGGAACCCACUCUGAAAUAAUAGCUAAUGCCUCGGUAAUCCAAGGCUGGUGGCCUAGUCGUAAAUCCAGAAAAGCACCGCCCCAGCAACCCAGAAUGGCACCCUUUUGUAAAAGAAGAUCCUCGGAGGACUCCAUGCUUCCUUGGACUGGGUGCCAGGCCAGAAAACCCGCUUGGGUGGUUGAAGGAUUUUUUUUCCUUUUCCCCAUACAUAAGUGUAGAGAUUAAUGAAAUCUUUGCUGGACAUGAUUUUACCUUCAUGAAUCCUGAUCGGGCAGAUGCUAACCCUUUUGAUCAAUGGUUACUUUGUGGGGUUAAUGGGAGCUGUACCGAUUUUUCACCUAUGGCCAUGAUUGGAGGUGGAUAUAGUGAAAAGGGCCAAAUGGGUUUUGAGUGGAAGGGCACUUUGAGUACUGGUUCGGGGUCCUUUGAUUGGUCCUCCUCUAAUACUAAAUAUAAAGCAUUUAAAGGGUGAAUUAUACUGUCACCCCGGUUUGUGUUUGGCCCCCUUUCUGUGGGUAGUAAGUAAUAAAAGUUUAAAUAGUAAUCAAUUAGAGUUAGAUUGCUUGUUUAAUGAAUGUUUCUAUGCCCUGUGUUGGGAUGCUACUAAGUAUUCCUUUGCUUUGGUUAUUCGUAUGCCUAGAUUUGUUCCAGUUCCUGUGGGAGCCCCUAGCAGUUUAAGCUUAUUUAGAGAAAAGAGAGAUUUUGGAAUCUCUGCUAUUAUAGUUGGCUUGGUAACAACAGCAGCAGUAGCUGCCUCUGUCACUGCUUCGGCCCUUGUCUUGUCUGCUACGGUUCAGACAACGCAAACCAUCAAUGACCUUUCGGCAAGAGUGACAUCGGCCCUGGACAGGCAGGCCACGGCCAACUCCCAGAUACAGGGAGGCCUCAUGUUGGUAAACCAACGGAUCGAUCUGGUCCAAGAGCAGGUGGAUAUCCUGUGGCAAAUGGCUCAGCUGGGUUGCGAACAUAAGCUGCCUAUCCUUUGUACCACCUCAGUACAAUUUGAGAAUUUUACAAGAGCAGAUAACCUGUCAAAGGCUUUGUCUCGUUAUUUGUUACAGAAUUGGACCAUAGAAUUUGAACAGACACUGGGGAGCUGAGGAUCACCAUCUUACAAGUCAAUUUGACAUGUCUUGACCUGUCAUUGACGGAAGAAUUUUCUACCUGGAUUUCUGCAGAUUCUCCUACUUCAAGGAAUGGGUAGGGGUGGGUUUGUUUGGAGUGGCUGUGUGUGGUGGAGUACUGCUCCUACUAUGGUUGAUCUGCAAACUUAAAGCCCAAACAAGGAGGGACAGGAUGGUAGUAACCCAGGCGCUUGUUGCUUUGGAGCAUGGUGCCUCCCCCGAUAUAUGAUUAUCGAUGCUCAAGCAAUAAGGUCGCUGGCCAUCCAGCUCCACAAAACCCUGAGGUGAGUUUUGCUUCAUGGGGCGGAGCGGGUGUGCUUUAGCAGCCCAGGAGAGUUGCGAGGCUAAGCACUGCACUGGAAUGGCUUUGUGGUCUAAUUUGAGCUUCUUCCUGGGAGAUAUGUCAUCUUUCAAGAAGGUUGAGUAUCCUAGUGUCCUUCCUCCAGGAAAAACGACACGGGAGCGGACCAAGACCGCUCCGGGUGAUGAGCCUGGGAGGAGGUUUUGUGUAAGGCCCCUAUGCUUGCACACUGGGGAUUUGACCUCUAUCUCCACUCUCAGUACUGGGUGGCCUGUUGCUUCUAAAAUAAAAGAAAAUGGAGAUGUGAGGAGCCACCCUCACAGUCGCCGUUACAAGAUGGCGCUGACAUCCGUUGCUCUUGGUGAAGUGUGCACAGGCGUCAGGGUAUCUUUCCAUUACCUGAGCCCUGCCUCUCCUGUAGCGUCAUCUGGGCUAAUGGUGGGCAGCCAAUCCCGGUGGUGCACAUCUCCAACCGAACUUCGCAGCCUAUAUAAGGGAAGGGUUUUCUGCUCUCUGGGUCUCCUCUCCUGAAGCUGAUCAUCAAUCUCUGGAGAUGUAUUAAAGCUUUACUGCAGAAGG
rnacentral:lncRNA from 1 species